rnacentral:tRNA from 1 species
GGGGAUUUAGCUCAGCGGUAGAGCGCUUGCCUAGAAAGUGCAAGGCCCUGGGUUCAGUCCCCA